UAUUUCUAAUGCGUUUUGAUUUUGUGAAAAAAGUUUGUGAGUGCUAGUUAGCCUUUGAAUGCUUUUGCUUUUAUUGUUGAUGGUUUGCAUUAUGGAGUUUCAGACUUCUCGUAUGCUGCUUAUUCCAUGAUGCUUGUUGGGAUUUUAUCGUCUGUAAUUGCAACUUGUUAUGAGAUGGCCAAAACCAUUGCAUUUUGCAAUAGUUGAUGAACUUGAUUAUGUCCUAAUUGAUGAGGGAAGAAACCCAUUGCUGAUAAGGGGUGAGGCUAGCAAGGAUGCUGCACGUAACACAGUUGCUGCUAAAGUAGCUGAGCUUCUCAUGCGUGGCCUCGUAUUUUACCUUUUUGCCCUUCUUUUUCCUUUUUGAUGUCUUGUUAUCCAUCUCCAUUGUAUGCGUAUCUCAUUGUUUGUUCCACUACACAUCAUGUAAAUUUAUAUAUUGUAACAAAUAGAAUUGUAAGACAUUAAAUUUUAUGAAAUGGAUUAUAUUUUUUGUA